AUUGAACGCUGGCGGCGGGCCUAACACAUGCCAGUCGAACGGUAACAGGAAGAAGCUUGCUUCUUUGCUGACGAGUGGCGGACGGGUGAGUAAUGUCUGGGAAACUGCCUGAUGGAGGGGGAUAACUACUGGAAACGGUAGCUAAUACCGCAUAACGUCGCAAGACCAAAGAGGGGGACCUUCGGGCCUCUUGCCAUCGGAUGUGCCCAGAUGGGAUUAGCUAGUAGGUGGGGUAACGGCUCACCUAGGCGACGAUCCCUAGCUGGUCUGAGAGGAUGACCAGCCACACUGGAACUGAGACACGGUCCAGACUCCUACGGGAGGCAGCAGUGGGGAAUAUUGCACAAUGGGCGCAAGCCUGAUGCAGCCAUGCCGCGUGUAUGAAGAAGGCCUUCGGGUUGUAAAGUACUUUCAGCGGGGAGGAAGGGAGUAAAGUUAAUACCUUUGCUCAUUGACGUUACCCGCAGAAGAAGCACCGGCUAACUCCGUG
rnacentral:rRNA from 1 species